rnacentral:lncRNA from 1 species
GCUCCAUAUAAAUAUUUUAUGAGGUGGGCUCCACUAUUAUUCGUGUUCUGUAAAACAUUCCUAUAAUUUUUUGUGUAAGUGUGACACUGUUGUUUUUGAUUGACAGUAUUUUCUUUAAUUUUUUCGUUGUCAAUGAAAAAAUGUCAAAUGUAUGUAUGCGUAUAUAAAAUCCUGUCAUUGAUCAUGUCCCUGUAAAAGAAUUGAUUUGUGACCCCAUCUCUCUCUCUGAUUUCGCACUUUGUUCUCUCUCUAUCUACGAGAUCCACAAACUCCAACCGCCAUCCGCCAGCUCCGGCCGCCAUCACCAAAAACUUGUCAUCGCUUUCUCUUCUCAUACCCUCUCUCUCUACGAUCUUCCUCUUUGUUCUGUCUAUCUAUCUACAGCACCCACCAAAUUCGACAUCUUCGUAACCUGACCGCUCGUGUAUGCUGUCUCGAGCUCCAGCUUUUUUUUUGCUUGCUGGAGAAGGCGGAGGAGGUGGCUCCGAGAGAUGGGACAUUGCUAUGGCUUGCUGGAGAGGGAGAAUGGGAAAGGGCUUCAUGAGAUGGAACGUUGCCAUUGCUUGCUAGAAAGGUAAAAUAUCUGGUCCAGAUGGUGACACCGGAGAAAGUGACGGCGAACCAAAUCUUUGCCACCAGUAAAAUCUCUUCCACCUCGAACAGAAUUUGAAGUUGAAAUUUUCAAAUCUUUUAAACUAGUCGGAUCUACUCUAUUGGUGGUGAGGUGGAUGAUGUGGUGCGCUAAUGUUUGUCUGAUGGUAGGUUGGGUGUAUAGAUUUGCAUGGUGCUAGUGCGGUGGAUGUGGUGGAGAGGGAUGAAGAGCAUGUGACAAUUAUUUGAGUAAUUAGACCAAUAAAUAGAUAAUUUGUAACCAAUUAAUGUGAUCUAAAAAAAG